rnacentral:lncRNA from 1 species
UUUAGGAUUUGGUUUAAAAUUUGAUUUAAGAUUUAGGAUUUAGGAUUUGGUUUAGGAUUUGGUUUGGAAUUUGAUUUAAGAUUUAGGAUUUAGGGUUUGGGUUUAGGAUUUGAUUAGGGUUUGAUUUAGGAUUUUAUUAGGAUUUAUUUAGGAUUUAAGAUUUAAUUAAUUUGGGCCUAAACUUUGAAUGAAGUCCAAUAGGAUUUUAACUAGGAUUAAAUUAAUAUUGAAUGGAGAUAUAUUUGAGAGAUAUUUGUGAUUAUUCUAAUAUUUCUUUAAGAUUUUUUAUUAUUUCAUUGAAAUUUUUUUCAGGUUUUCUUUGAAUUUGAUUAAGCUUGUUUAGCAUUAUUGUAGUCUAUUAAAGUAUUGUUAGUAUUCUAUUAGAAUUAGGAUUUUGUUAUUACAAUUUCCAUUCUUCCUUCCACAACCACGUGCUCGGAGCAUUCUCAAGCAAGCCUUCAUGUAAUAUGUCAACGUUGUAGCAGGUCACGAAUGUUAUUUGUUCCUCGAUGGAUUUUCUAGAUGUAAUCAAGUUUAAAUUGCAUCGAAAGACUAGUUCAAGUCAACCUUUACUAUG